ensembl:Y_RNA Y_RNA Y RNA
GGCUGGUCCAAAGGUAGUGAGUUAUCUCAAUUGAUUGUUCACAGUCAGUUACAGAUGGAACUCCUUGUUCUACUCUUUCCCUCCUUCUCACUACUGCACUUGACUAGUCUUUA